rnacentral:rRNA from 1 species
UGCUUUUUGUAAAUAUAAAAAGUAUUACCUGCCCAAUGAUUAAUUUAAUGGCUGCAGUAUAUUGACUGUACAAAGGUAGCAUAAUCAUUUGCUUUAUAAAUUAAAGCUUGUAUGAAUGGUAUUAUGAAAAUAUGACUGUCUUUUAUUUAUCAAUAAAAUUUGAUUUUCCAGUGAAGAGACUGGAAAAUUUUAGAAAGACGAGAAGACCCUAAUGAGUUUUAUAUAUUAUUAUAUAUUAUUAUAAUUAUAUAUUUUAUUGGGGCAAUAAGAGAAAAAAUCUUCUUUUUAUAUAAAAGAAUAAUAUUUAAUGAACCAUUAAUAAUGAUUAAAAGUUUAAAUUACCAUAGGGAUAACAGCAUAAUUCUUUUCAAGAGUACUUAUCGACAAAAGAGAUUAUGACCUCGAUGUUGAAUUAAGAAAAUUAUAUGAUGAAGAAAUAUAUAAAUAAGUC